rnacentral:lncRNA from 1 species
UCACAAUACUCUGUAUUUAAUCAUUGCUUCCUUCCAGACCUAUUUGCUGCCUUCCUCUCUGUCAUCUCACCGAUGUGACAGAGAACAGUGAGAUGCUCGAAGCCAUGGAUAUAGGAGAGGUGCAAGCCGUGUUACUGAAGAAGUAUGCAAUAGCAGAAAGAAGACAGGACAAAUGUCAGGAGACUCGUGCCCAGAGGGGCUGUGAAACUUUGGACUAGCAAUUUAGCUCCUCUCAGAUGAGAAGAUCAUUGCCCGAAAGAUAAAAUAAUUUGCACAAAAUGGAGAGUGGAACUAGAAUCCAGAAACCCUAACUCCAAGUCCAGUUAUUAUAUUGGCAUACAUGCUAUGUGAUACGUUUUCCUUUCCAUUCCAGUCUCCAAAACCAAUAACCAUCGUGUGCAGUGACCCCAUCUACGAGAGCAUCAGGGCCCCAUGCUCAGAAGAUGUCCUGUGUUUGAGGUUUAAUGC